UUUUAUUUUGUUGAGCAGUGGUUCGUAGUUCUCCUUGAAGAGGUCCUUCACAUCCUUGUAAGUUGUAUUACUAGGUAUAUUAUUCUCUUUGUAUUAGUUGUGAAUGUGAGUUCACUCAUGAUUUGACUCUGUCUGUUAUUGGCAUACAAGAAUGCUUGUGAUUUUUGCACAUUGAUUUUGUAUCCUGAGACUUUGCUGAAGUUGCUUAUCAGCUUAAGGAGAUUUUGGGCUGAGAUGAUGGGGUUUUCUAAAUAUACAAUCCUGUCAUCUAUAAACAGAGACAAUUUGACUUCCUCUUUUUCCUAACUGAAUACCAUUUAUUUCUUUAUCUUGCCUGAUUGCCCUGGCCAGAACUUCCAAUACUAUGUUGAAUGGGAGUGGUGAGAGAGGGCAUCCUUGUCUUGUGCCGGUUUUCAAAGGGAAUGCUUCCAGUUUUUGCCCAUUCAGUAUGAUACUGGCUGUGGGUUUGUCAUAAAUAGUUCUUAUUAUUUUGAGAUAUGUUUCAUCAGUACCUAGUUUAUUGAGAGUUUUUAGCAUGAAGGGCUGUAGAAUUUUGUCAAAGGUCUUUUCUGCAUCUAUUGAAAUAAUCGUGUGGGUUUUUUUGUUGGUUCUGUUUAUUUGAUGGAUUAUGUUUAUUGAUUUGCAUAUGUUGAACCAGCCUUGCAUCCCAGGGAUGAACCUGACCUGAUUGUGGUGGAUAAGCUUUUUGAUGUGCUGCUGGAUUUGGUUUGCGAGCAUUUUAUUGAGGAUUUUCACAUCGAUAUUCAUAGGGAUAUUGGUCUAAAAUUCUCUUUUUUUCUUGUGUCUCUGCCAGGCUUUGGUAUCAGGAUGAUGUUGGCCUCAUAAAAUGAGUUAGGGAGGAUUCCUCUUUUUCUAUUGGUUGGAAUAGUUUCAGAAGGAAUGGUACCAGCUCCUCUUUGUACCUCUGGUAGAAUUUGGCUGUGAAUCUGUCUGGUCCUGGACUUUUUUUGGUUGGUAGGCUAUUAAUUAUUGCCUCAAUUUCAGAACCUGUUAUUGGUCUAUUCAGAGAUUCAACUUCUUCCUAGUUUAGUCUUGGAAGGGUGUAUGUGUCCAGGAAUUUAUCCAUUUCUUCUAGAUUUUCUAGUUUAUUUGAGUAGAGGUAUUUAUAGUAUUCUCUGAUGGUAGUUUGUAUUUCUGUGGGAUCGGUGGUGAUAUCCCCUUUAUCAUUUUUUAUUGUGUCUCUUUGAUUCUUCUCUGUUUUCUUCUUUAUUAGUCUUGCUAGCAGUCUUUCAAUUUUGUUGAGCUUUUCAGAAAACCAGCUCCUGGAUUCAUUGAGUUUUUGAAGAGCCUUUUUUGUCUCUAUCUCCUUCAGUUCGGCUCUGAUCUUAGUUAUUUCCUGCCUUCUGCUAGCUUUUGAAUGUGUUUGCUCUUGCUUCUCUAGUUCUUUUAAUUGUGACGUUAGGAUGUUGAUUUUUUAUCUUUCCUGCUUUCUCUUAUGGGCAUUUAUUGCUAUAAAUUUCCCUCAAAGCACUGCUUUAGCUGUGUCCCAGAGAUUCUGGUACAUUGUGUGUUUGUUCUCAUUGGCUUCAAAGAACAUCUUUAUUUCUGCCUUCAUUUCAUUAUUUACCCAGUAGCCAUUCAGGACCACGUUGUUCAGUUUCCAUGUAGUUGUGCGAUUCUGGAUGAGUUUCUUAAUCCUCAGUUCUAGUUUGAUUGCACUGUGGUCUGAGAGACAGUUUGUUGUGAUUUAUGUUCUUUUAUAUUUGCUGGGGAGUGCUUUACUUCCAAAUAUGUUGUCAAUUUUAGAAUAAGUGCGACAUGGUGCUGAGAAGAAUGUAUAUUUUGUUGAUUUGGAGUGGAGAGUUCUGUAGAUGUCUAUUAGAUCUGCUUGGUGCAGAGCUGAGUUCAAGUCUUAGAUAUUCUUGUUAACCUUCUGUCUCAUUGAUCUGUCUAAUAUUGACAGUGGGGUGUUAAAGUCUCCCAUUAUUAUUGUGUGGGAGUCUAAGUCUCUGUGUAGGUCUCUAAGGACUUGCUUUAUGAAUCUGGGUGUUCCUGUAUUGGGUGCAUAUAUAUUUAGGAUAGUUAGCUCUUCUUGUUGAAUUGAUCCCUUUACCAUUAUGUAAUGACCUUCUUUGUCUCUUUUGAUCUUUCUUGGUUUAAAGUCUGUUUUAUCAGAGACUGGGAUUGCAACCCCUGCUUUUUUUUGUUUUGCAUUUGCUUGGUAGAUCUUCCUCCAUCCCUUUAUUUUGAGCCUAUGUGUGUCUCUGCACGUGAGAUGGGUCUCCUGAAUACAGCACACUGAUGGGUCUUGACUCUAUCCAAUUUGCCAGUCUGUCUUUUAAUUGGGGCAUUUAACCCAUUUACAUUUAAGGUUAAUAUUGUCAUGUGUGAAUUUAAUCCUGUCAUUUUGGUGUUAGCUGGUUAUUUUGCCUGUUAAUUGAUGCAGUUUCUUCAUAGCAUCAAUGGUGUUUACAAUUUGGCAUGUUUUUGCAGUGGCUGAUACCAGUUGUUUCUUUCUGUGUUUAGUGCUUCCUUCAGGAGCUCUUGUAAGGCAGGCCUGGUGGUAACACAAUCUCUCAGCAUUUGCUUGUCUGUAAGUGAUUUUAUUUCUCCUUCACUUAUGAAGCUUAGUUUGUCUGGAUAUGAAAUUCUGGGUUGAAAGUUCUUUUCUUUAAGAAUAUUGAAUAUUGGCCCCCAUUCUCUUCUGGUUUGUAGCAUUUCUGACAAGAGAUCUGCUGUUAGCCUGAUGGGCUUCCCUUUGUGGGUAACCCGACCUUUCUUUCUGGCUGCACUUAACAUUUUUUCCUUCAUUUCAACCAUGGUGAAUCUGACAAUUAUGUGUCUUGGGGUUUCUCUUCUCGAGGAGUAUCUUUGUGGUGUUCUCUGUGUUUCCUGAGUUUGAAUGUUGGCCUGCCUUGUUAGGUUGGAAAGUUCUCCUGGAUAAUAUCCUGAAGAGUUGUUUUCCAACUUGGUUCCAUUCUCCCCAUCACUUUCAGGUAUGCCAAUCAAACAUAGAUUUGGUCUUUUCACAUAGUCCCAUGUUUCUUGGAGGUUUUGUUCAUUUCUUUUUACUCUUUUUUCUCUAACCUUGCCUUCUCGCUUUAUUUCAUUAAUUUGAUCUUCAAUCACUGAUACCCUUUCUUCCACUUGAUGGAAUUGGCUACUGAAGCUUGUACAUGCGGGACGAAGUUCUCAUGCCAUGGUUUUCAGCUCCAUCAGGUCAUUUAAAUUCUUCUCUACACUGUUUAUUCUAGUUAGACAUUUGUCUAACAUUUUUUCAAGGUUUUUAGCUUCCUUGCGAUGGGUUCAAACAUGUUCCCUUUAGCUUGGAGAAGUUUGUUGUUACCGACCUUCUGAGGCCUACUUCUGUCAACUCAGCAAAGUCAUUCUCCAUCCAGCUUUGUUCUGUUGGCUGGCGAGGAGCUGCGAUCCUUUGGAGGAGAAGAGGCGUUCUGAUUUUUAGAAUUUUCAGCUUUUCUGCUCUGGUUUCUCCCCAUCUUUGUGGUUUUAUCUACCUUUGGUCUUUGAUGUUGGUGACCUACAGUUGGGGUUUUGUGUAGAUGUCCUUUUUGUUGAUGUUGAUGCUAUUCCUUUCUGUUUGUUAGUUUUCCCUCGGCUGCAGUUCUGUUGGAGUUUGCCGGAGACCCUGUUUGCCUGGGUAUCAUCAGCGGAAGCUGCUGAACAGCAUAUAUUGCAGAACAGCAAAUAUUGCUGCUUGAUCCUUCCUCUGGAAUCUUUGUCCCAGAGGGGCACCCACCUAUAUGAGGUGUCUGUUGGCCCCUACUGGGAGGUGACUCCCAGUUAGGCUACACAGGGGUCAGGGACCCACUUGAGGAGGCAGUCUGUCUGUUCUUAGAGCUCAGAUGCCAUGUUGGGAGAACCACUGCUGUCUUCAGAGCUGUCAGCCAGGGAGGUUAAGUCUGCAGAAGUUGUCUGCUGCCUUGUGUUUAGUUAAGCCCUGCCCACAGAGGUGGAGUCUAGAGGCAGUAAGCCUUGCUGAGCUGCAGUGGGCUGCGCUUAGUUGAGCUUACUGGCUGCUUUGUUUACCUACUCAAGCCUCAGCAAUGUCGGACGCCCCUCCCCCAGCCAGGCUGCCACUUUACAGUUCAAUCUCACACUGCUGCGCUAGCAGUGAGCAAGGCUCUGUGGGCGUGGGACCCGCUGAGCCAGGCACGGGAGAGAAUCUCUUUGUCUGCCUGUUGCUAAGACCUUGGGAAAAGUGCAGUAUUUAGGUGGGAGUGUCCCGUUUUUCCAGGUACAGUCUGUCACAGCUUCCAUUGGGUAGGAAAGGGAAUUCCCCCUACCCCUUGCAUUUCCUGGGUGAGGCGACACCCCGCCCUCCUUCCUCUUGCCCUCCUUGGGCUGCAACCACUGUCCAGCCAGUCCCAAAGAGAUGAACCAGGUACCUCGGUUGGAAAUGCAGAAAUCACCCAUCUUCUGUGUCAAUCCCGCUGGGAGCUGCAGACCGGAGCUGUUCCUAUUUGGUCAUCUUGUUAUAUCUUAUAUAUAUAUGUUUUUUAAUUGCUUACCUACAAAAAAAUAUUCUUUGGAGAAAUUAUUCAAGUUCCUAAAUGCAAUUACCCUUGCUCUGUGUACAAAUAAGCUUUAAAAAAAUUUUUUUUUGCACAUUAUUGAAUAUUCAUUUGUAUACUCUGAUAAAUUGCAAUUGAAUUUAAAACAUUAUGUCUAGAUAGGCUUUCCUAGACCCCCUCCAUGUAUAAAAGUGAUGGAAGGACAGUGGUUUUCACUCAUAUACAUGCACACACAAUUUCACAUAUAUGCAUUUAUCCAUAAAUAUGCAUAUACACAUACAUUAAAAUGUAUAAAGCCUGGGCACAGUGGCUCAUGCCUGUAAUUCCAGCACUUUGGGAGGUUGAGGCAGGCGGAUCACAAGCUCAGGAGAUUGAGACCAUCCUGGCUAACAUGGUGAAACCCCGUCUCUACUAAAAAAUACAAAAAAAUUAGCCAGGCGUGGUGGUGGGUGCCUGUAGUCCCAGCUACUCAGGAGGCUGAGGCAGGAGAAUGGCGUGAACCUGGGAGGUAGAGCUUGCAGUGAGCCAAGAUCAUGCCACUGCACUCCAGCCUGGGUGAUAGAGCGAGACUCCAUCUCAAAAAAAAAAAAAAAAAAAAAAAUUAGGCAGAUACUUCACAGAAGAAGUAAAAAUGACUAAUACAUAUAAAAUUAGUUCUGUGUAAUUGAUCAUCAAAAAAAUUUUAUGAAAUACACAUCAAACAUUGACAUCCCAUUUUUUUCUUAUUUAAGAUUUUAAAAUUACAGUCUUGCUGGUGAAUGCAUGAUACACAAGCUUCUGGUGGAAGUAUAACUUGGUACAACCUUUUGUAAAGCAUUUUUGACAUAAGGUAUCAAAAGUCUUAAAAUUAUUUAUAACCUUUGCUUCUCUAUUUCGACUUCUUAGGGUCUAGCCAAGUAAAAUCUUAAUCAGAUAUAGUAAAAAAAAUUGUAUAUAAAAAUAUUCAUUAUUCAUUAAUGUUUAGUAUUGAAAACACCUAAAAAUUUUGUAACAAUAAGAAAUUGAUUAAAUUAAUUGGGGUACAUUCAUAAUUUGAAAUGCUAUACAGCUAUUAAAAACUUGAAUUUUGAAGGUCUUAGCUACUUGAAAAAAUUCUCGUUAAAAAUUUGAACACACAAAGGCCAUACCUGACAAACCCACAGCUAACAUCAUACUGAAUGGGGAAAAGUUGAAAGCCUUUUCUCUAAGAACUGGAAUAAGUCAGGAUGCCUACUUUCACCACUCCUCUUCAACAAAGUAAUAGAAGUCCUAGCCAGAGUAAUCAGGCAAGAGAAAGAAGUAAAAGACAUCCAAAUUGGAAAAAAGAAAGUCAUAUUAUCACUCUUUGCAGAUGAUGUAAUCUUAUAUUUAGAAAAACCAAAAGACUUCACUAAAACAUCUUAGAACUGAAAAACAAGUUAAGUAAAGUUGCAGUAUACAAAAUUAACAUACAAAAAUCAAUCAGUAUUGUUUCUGAACACCAAUAAUGACAUAGCUGAAAAAGAAAUCAAGAAGGCAAUCACAUUUACAAUAGCUACAAAAAAAUAAAAAUACCUAGAAAUAAAUUUAUCCAAGGAAGCAAAAGAGCUCUACAAGGAAUACUACAAAACACUGAUGAAAGAAAUUGAAGAGGACACAAACAAAUGGAAAGACAUCCUAUGCUCAUGCAUCAGAAUAAUUAUUGUUGUUAAAAUGACCAUACUGCCCAAAGUGAUCUACAGUGUGAUCCCUAUCAAAAUACCAACAUCAUUUUUCACAAAAAUAAAAAAAUUCCUGGCCAGGUGCAGUGGCUCACCCCUGUAGUCCCAGCACUUUGGGAGGCCAAGGCAAGUCGAUUGCCUGAGGUCAGGAGUUCAAGAUCAGCCUGGCUAACAUGGUGAAGCCCCAUCUCUACUAAAAAUACAAAAAUUAGCCAGGUGUCAUGGCAGGCGCCUGUCAUCACAGCUACUGGGGAGGCUGAAGCAGGAGAAUCACUGGAACCUGAGAGGCAGAGGUUACAGUGAGCCAAGAUCCCACCACUGCACUCCAGGCUGGGCGGCAGAGUGAGUCGCCAUCUCAAACAAAAACAAAAAAAUAAAAAUUAAAAAAAAUUUAAAAUUCCUAAAAUGUGUAUGGAACUAAAAAAGAGCCAGAAUAGCCAAAGAAAUCCUGAGCAAAAAGAACAGAGCUAGAGGGAUCACACUACCUGACUUUAAAAUAUAUUACAAGGCUCUAUAGUAACCAAAACAGCAUUGUAUUGGUAUAAAAAAAGAGACAAAUAGACUAAUGAAACAGAAUAGAGAACCGGGGAAUAAAUCCACACAUUUACAGCCAACUGACCUUUGACAAAGCCAUCAAGUACAUACGUUGGGGAAAGGACACCCUUUAUAAUAAAAUGGUGCUGGGAAAACUGGAUAACCAUGUGUAGAAGAAUGAAACAGGACCCCUAUCUCUCUCUGUAUAUGAAAAUCAACUCAAGAUGGUUUAAAAGCUUAAACAUAAGACCCAAAACUAUAAACCUACUAGAAAAUAACAUAGGAAAAACUCUUCAGGACAUAGGUCUAGACAAAGAUUUUAUGGCUAAGAUCUCAAAAUCACAGGCAAGAAAACCAAAAAUAGACAAGUGGGACUAUAUUAAAUUAAAAAGCUCUCCACAGCAAAAGAAACAAUCAGUAGAAUGAAGAGACAGCCUGUUGAAUAAGAGAGAAUAUUUGCCUACUAAUUUCACAGGGGACUCAUAUCCAGAAUAUACAAGAAACUCAAACAACUCAACAGGAAAAAGAAAAGAAAACCCAAAUAAUCCCAUUAAAAAUGGGGUAAGGACAUGAAUAGACAGAUCUCAAAAGUAGACAUACAGGUGGCCUACAGUUGUGUGAAAAAAUGCUCAACAUCACCAAUCAUCAGGGAAAUGCAAAUCGAAACCACAAUGAGAUAUCCUCUUAUCCCAGUUAGAAUAGCUAUUACUAAAAAGACAAAAAUAACAAAUGUUGGUGAGGAUGUUGAGAAAUGGGAAAUCUUAUACACUGUAGGUGGGAAUGUAGAUUAGUACAGCCUCUAUGGAAAACAGUAUGAAGAUUUCUCAAAAAACUAAAAAUAGAACUACCAUGUACCCAGCAAUUCCACUACUUGGUAUUAUCUAAAGCAAAAUAAACUGCAUGUCAAAGGGAUACAUGCAGUCUCAUGUUUAUUGCAGCACUAUUCACUACAGAAAAGAUAUGGAAUCAGCCCAAAUGUCUCUCAGUGAAUGAGUGGAUAAAGAAAAUAUGGUAUAUAUACACAAUGGAAUACUAUUCGACCAUAAAAAAGAAUAAAAUCAUCAUUUAUAGCAACAUGGAUGGAACGGGAGGAUAUUAUGUUAAGUGAAAUCAGCAGGCACAGACAUAUUGCAUAUUAUCAUGUGGGAGCUAAAAAGUUGAUCACGUGGAGGUAGACGGUGAUCUACAAACAUAGUUUGGUUAAUGGGUACAAACAUAUAGUUAGAUAGAAGAAAUAAGUUCUAAUGUUCAAUAGCAGAGUAGGGUGACUAUAGUUAACAACAAUAUAUUGUAUAUUUCAAAGCAACCAAAAGAGAGGACUUGAAAUGUACCCAACAUGUAAAAGUGACAAACACUUGGGUGACAGAUACCCUAAAGAGCCUGACUUGAUCAUCACACAUUCUAUGCAUGCAACAAAAUUUCACAAGUACCCCAUAAAUAUAUACAAACAUAAUGUAUCAAAAAAUUUUUUUAAAUUGAAAAAAUACAGAAUACAGUUAUGUACAGUGUACAAUAUAAUACUAAUUUUGGUCUCUAUGUAUAUAAUCAGAAAGAUCAGAAGGGAAGGCAGCACAACUUCAACAGCGUUUAUCUCUAUGUGAUGAAUUAUAGAUUAUAUUAUACCUUUCUGUAGUUUAUAAGUUAUUCAGUGUUUCUCAUGUUUUACUGUAUAAUCACUAAGGAAGAAUACACAUUUUUCACAAAGCAAACUCAGAGGCACCUAAGAUAUACUGAAAAGUAUAGACUCCCCAAUUUAUAAUGGUUCGACUUAUAAUUUUUCAACUUUAUGAUGGUAUAAAAGUAAUAUGCAUUCAGUAGGACAUCAAUAAAUUACAUGAGAUGUUUAACACUUCAUUAUGAAAUAGGCUUUAUGGGCCAGGCGCAGUGGCUCACACCUGUAAUCCCAGCACUUAGAGAGGCCGACACAGGCAGAUCACCUGAAGUGAGGAAUUUGAGACCAGCAUGGCCGACAUGGUGAAACCCAAUCUCUACUAAAAAUACAAAAAUUAGCUGGUCGUGGGUGGCACGUGCCUGUAAUCCCUGCUAUUGGGGAGGCUGAGGCAGGAGAAUUGCUUGAAUCCAGGAGACAGAGGUUGCAGUGAGUUGAGAUCGUGCCAUUGCACUCCAGCCUGGAUGACAAGAGUGAAACUCCAUCUCAAAACAACAAAAACAACAAACAAAAAAUAAAAUAGGCUUUGUGUUGGAUGAUUUUGCCCAACUGUUGGCUAAUGUAAGUGUUCUGAGCACAUUUAAUGUAGGCUAGGCUAAGCUAUGAUGUUUGGUAAAUUCAAUGUAUUAAGUUCAUUUUCCACUUACUGAUAUACUAAAAUUACAAUGGGUUUAUUGAGAUGUAACCCCAUCAUAAAUCAAGGAGCAUCUGUAUUUGAGGAGUCAGCAAGCAAGGACUUAAGCCAGUCAGCUCAGUGGUCCAGAGUAAGUUUCUCUUCUGGGCCUGAUAUUCUUAUCUAGAAAACAGCCAUGGUAAUUAUACAGUUGUAAUGUAAAUUAAAUUUAGGAAAUGAGCCUUGCAUACACUAUGCAUUCAAUUAUAGGACAUUUCCCUAUAACAACAAAGUUUAAAAUUUGGUUGUAUUUUUUUGUCUGUCUUUUCCCCCUCAUAUAAUAUAGAUAAUAGUUUGCAAAUACUUUUGUACUCCUGAAUAUAAUCUUGCAUCUUCAAACAUAAGGGAAACAUUUAUUGGAAUGUUAUAAAACCUCAAUUUUGUAGUAUUCUUUGUGUUCUCUUGGUUUUAAUGGCUUGUCUAUAAAAAAUUACUCAUUCAUGCAGAAAUUAUUGUUUCUUACAUGGAAAGAAGCAUUGGAGAAUGAAAUGAUAAAUAAGAUAUAUUUGCUGUCAUAAAGGAUAUUUCACUCAUACAACCAACAAAUACACAAAUGUAUUAGGUUCCAUAGGGAGAAUGGGAGAAUAAUACAGUUUUGGAGUCCAGAAAUUACUUAUAUCUUACACAAAGAUUAUUCAUCUCAAUUUAAAAUGACAGUCACCAAAUUUAUGCAAAAGUUUUCUGUGAAUACUGGAGCUAAGAAAGAAAGUUAAUGGUUUGGUCUUUGCAAUUGGGCUUACUUCUAUUUGCUAUAGUUUAUUAAUUAAGAGUAAAGUCAACUUAGCAAAUAUUUACUUAGUACCCAUUAUAAGCAACAAACUGUGUGGGCAAGAGUGGAAAUGUGAAGAAAAUGGACUUUUUAUCUUCAAGGAGAUUAAAGUUUUAGGAAGUUCAACUAUGAAAAACUUAAUCACGUUAAAAUAUUUAUUUACUAUUUUAAAACAGCUAAAUAACUUGCAUACCAUGUCAAAAGGAUCUCAGGGGAAUGAGAGGUAGUUCAAAACUUCACUCAUUGGAAAAUUGGAACUUCAAAUGAGUCAAUGAAUAGGAUUAGACCAGACAGAGAGUUGCUGGGUAUGAUGUACUGGUUGGGUGAAACAGUGUGAGAAAAAGUGCAAAGGUAGACUAUAUACAAGGCACGUUUAGUGAACAACAAGUAAAGUAUGUACAAAAGUCAUUUGAAGGAUUUUCAGGAGAUAAGAAUAUCUUGAAAUAGUUGGGGCAAAUUUUUAAAAGUCUCAGAAGUCUAAGUAAUUAUGGCUUAUUCCUAUCAAUAUUGUGGCAUUAGUGCAGACUUUUUUUUAAAAGAUAUUGUCUACUUGAAGUAGUGUGUUAGGAAAUUAAUCUGGAAGGAAGUAUGUAAAAUUCAAGAAGGUCAUUUAGAAGGUCUUGUAGUCACAUUGUUAUAAUGAAAUAAAGGCCAGAAUAAGUGUUGCAAUAUUUAUCAAACAUUCCACAGACUUGCCAAUGUAAAGAUGAAAAAGCAAUUGCUGGGUGUGGUGGCUCAUACCUGUAAUCCCAGCAUUUUGGGGGCUGAGGCGGGUGGAUUGUCUAAGCUCAGGAGUUGGAGAACAGCCUGGACAACAUGGUGAAACCCUGUCUCUACUAAAAAUACAAAAAAAUUAGCCAGGCAUGGUGGCACGAGCCUGUAAUCCCUGCUACUGGGGCGGCUGAGGCACAAGAAUCACUUAAACCCGGGAGGCAGAGGUUGCGGUGAGCUGAGAUAGGGCCACUGCACUCCAGCCUAGGCGACAGAGACAGACUCUGUCUCCAAAAAAAAAAAAAAAAAAAAAAUGAAGGAACAAUGUUACUAAAGUAAUAAAAAAGAAGCCUGGGCAACAUAGUGAGAUCUCAUGUCUACAAAAAAAAGAAAAAAAGAAUUACCUGGGCUUGAUGAUGCACCCUGUAGUCCUGGCUACUCAGGAGGCCAAGGUAGGAGGACUACUUAAGCCCAGGAAGUCAAGGCUGCAGUGAGCUGUGGUUGCGCCAUGGUACUCCAGCCUGGGCAACAGACCGAGACCCUGCCUAGAAAAGAAAAAGAAAAGAAAAGAGUUACAGCACUUUUUCAGAGAUACUUAUCUGUGCAUUUUCUCUGAUAAAUGCAAAAUUUUCUCUGUCCAGGUAGGGAGAAAUUGGAGCAGGCUUCUUCGUAUGGUUUUCUUUUCUUUUUCUUUUUUUUCUUUUUUUGAGACAGUCUUGUCUGUCUCCAGGCUGCAGUGCAGUGGCUUGAUCUCCACUCACUGCAGCCUCCACCUCCCGGAUUCAAGCGAUUCUCCUGCCUCAGCCUCCUGAGUAGCUGGGACUACAGGCACGUGCCAUCACGCCCGGCUAAUUUUUGUAUUUUUAGUAGAGAUGAGUUUCACCAAGUUAGCCAGGAUGGUCUCUAUCUCCUGACCUCAUGAUCUGCCCGCCUUGGCCUCCCAAAGUGCUGGGAUCACAGGCAUGAGCCACUGUGCCUGGCCCGUAUGGUUUUCUUAAGGAGUAGCAAUUAAAUGAAAUGAAAUCUCUUACAUUACUUUCUUUUAUCAUUUGUAUUUUGUAUUAUUAAAAUGGGCCAGUUUAUAAUGCUUGAGAAAGAAUCCAUGAACUAUUGACCUAAACUAAACUGUAGAGUCAGCUUUUGGAAAGAAAAAGUUGAUCUCUUCCCUGAGUUAAACAUUCUUAGAAGUUCUUGGUCUUUUAAACAUCUUUAUAAAAAUUGAUAAAACUGGAAUCUUUUAGCAGUAACUUUCAUAUAUCAUAAUCUCUGCUAGUAAAAAGGAUAUUUUUUCAUGAUUUAUUGGUAUCUGUCAACUUCAGAAUCAUCAUCUAGGAUUUAUCUCUAUGAAAUAUGCAGUUACAGAAUUUAUUGCAUAGUUAAUAUUUUCCAUCAAUCUUGCCUUUCAAAUUGGAAGUCUCCAUUAAAACAUAUUUUAAUGAUAGUAAGACAUGCCAACCUUUCUAUCAGUUUUUUAUAUGUACUGAAUAUUAAGGUGUUGUUCAUCAUUUACACAAUGAUCAUAUUUCAUUACAAUUACUAUCAUUUAGUUCAACUCGAUGUCAGACUGCCCACUGGAUGCUGUAUACAAAUCAACCACUGAAUAGAGUUGGAUUUAUUUUAGGCUUUUAAAUGAAAGCAUUGUCGCAACUCACUUUAAUUUAUUUGAUUUUUCCACUAAUCUAUGAAGUCCUAUUUGGAAACAUCGUGGUAUAACGUAAAGAACAUUGAGUAUGGAGUGGUGUAGUAAUAUAUUCAUAAUUAUGUGGCUUUAUGUACGUUAUUUAAAUGCCCUCGUGUAUGUAUUAUGAGGCAGGCACAGUGCAAGGCUCUGGGAAUGGUACACAAAGAUGAUAGAACUUUGCUUGAAGAUGUGUCAAGUUUAAUGAUAGUGGAGAGUGGAGGUAUAGCAAGUAAGAUCUCAGAAAGCUAUUGAAAUUACAUUAGAUAACGUGUAUCCAGUGCACAGACCAACAAAGACAAGGUUGUUACUAUUGGUUCUCUCUUUACAAAUGUUACCUAUUUGGCUUCUUUAUAGCAGACCCGAUUUUAUAUAGUGAUAAUUUGGUAGAAUUCCAAAUUGCAUUGGUAAGUGGAGUUUUACUGGACACAAAAUCUUAUUUAGGUCAAGGUUUGAGUCUGAGCUAUUGUUUUUUUUUUUGAGGCGGAGUCUCGCUCCUUCGCCCAGGCUGGAGUGCAGUGGCGCUAUCUCGGCUCACUGCAAGCUCCGCCUCCCGGGUUCACGCCAUUCUCCUGCCUCAGCCUGCCGAGUAGCUGGGACUACAGGCGCCUGCUACCGCGCCCGGCUAAUUUUUUGUAUUUUUAGUAGAGACGGGUUUUCACUGCGUUAGCCAGGAUGGUCUCCAUCUCCUGACCUCGUGAUCCACCCGCCUCGGCCUCCCAAAGUGCUGGGAUUACAAGCGUGAGCCACCGCGCCUGGCCCUGAGCUAUUGUAUCUAUGCAUUCUCCUUAAUAUGCAGUUUGAGUUUCACUGAAGAGAAGGAAUUUUUCAAAUAUCUACUAGAAUUUCUUGCUUACUUGAAUUUAACAAAUUAAUCAUCUGCUUUUCUUUUGAAUGUAACUCAAGGGAAUGUGGAACAGGCAUCCUUGAGAUGUAUUAAAUUAUUAGCUGGCAUAAUUUUUGAGAAUGCCUAUACAGCUAUACAAGGUGUUCAUAAUACUCAAAGGAUCUUAAUUUUCUUGUAAGUAGGAAAUAAACUGCCCAUGUUUUUAGACCUUAAUAUUUUAAACUCUUUACGGUCUAAAUUUCAUCUCAAAUACUCUAAAUGAAAACCAAAUGGGCCACUGGCAAAUCAAGAUGAAGGAAUUUGAAUGCCCCAUGGUAUGCUAUUAGAAGAUGAAGACUAUUUUUUCUCAAGGGGUUUACUGUAAUUUAAUAUUAUGAGGUAUUCUUUGAAUUCAAAGACCUGCCCCCAGUAAGGCAUAAGAUAUGAAUAGCAAACCUCACUACUUAUUUAUCUGGCACUUGAACUCAAAAUGUGCCUGGGUCCCAAAGGAGCUAGACAUAUAUAAAUACAAAAUAUAGCCAUGAUUAUAUUAAUAAACAUUCAUAUUAUUAAUAUAAGCAGUCAUUUAUAUUAAUAAGCAUUCAUAUUUAUUAAUAUAAACAUGGCUAUAUUUAAUGCAAUUUGUGAUAGUCAAGUUUAUUCAGUGAAAGAAAAACAUGGAAUAAAUAUUUGUGCUUAUUUAAGUUUUAUCUACCAUAAUUACUUAUACAUCUCCCCUUUUAGAACCAAUAUUCUGCCUUUUAAAUUAUGAUAAUUGAACACAAUCAUGCAAUCCUCCCACCUCUGUCUCCUGAGUAGCUGGGACUACAGGCACAGGCCAACCACACCUGGCUAAUAUUUAAAAAAAAAAUUUUUUUUGUAGAUAUGAGGUCUUGCUGUGUUGCUCAGGCUGGUCUCAAAACGCCUGGGCUCAAGCGAUGCCCCUGCCUGGGCCUCUCAAAGUGCUGGGAUUACAGGUAUAAGCCGCUGCACCUGGCCCUAGCAACAUCUUAAGGGUUGAUCUUCUGAAAUCUUUAUAACAUCAGGUAAAAAGCAGAUAAGAGUGGGAUUACCUGCACUUUUUGUGCUGAGCAUUCAGUUCCCCUCUCUAGAAGAGUAUCACUAGGAUUUACAAUUUUUGUAAAACAUAACCGGUGUAUUGCUAUACAAACCAGUAACUUGUCAAGGGAAAUAUCUGAUAGGUGUUUCCUUAACAAAAUGAUCAAACUUAGCAUUUCCAACAGGAUGAGAUAAAAUAUCCUUUUUUGCCUUUGAAUGUGAUACAUGAGAAGCUCACAACAUCACCUAUAUAAUAUUCUGGAAUUUUAAAAAAAUGGAAUCUACUCAUCAGAAAACAAUGCACAUUGUAAGACAUAGUGUAAAACAGGUAGCCCUUACUCUUCAAAAAUGUCAUUGACAUAAAAGACACAAAGGGCUGGUGAACUGAUUCGAUUAGGGAAAACUAAAGAAAUAUGACAACUCAAUUCAAUGUGUGACUUUGGAUUAAUUCUUAGAUAAGAAAAAGAAAACAAAAAAGCUAUAAAAAGUACAUUAUUGAAACAGUUGGGAAAAUUUGAACAUGGACUUUAUCUUAGAUACUAGGUUUAAAAAAAAAAAUCAGUGUUAAAUUUCCUGAGUGUGAUCAUUGUAUUGUGGUUAGGUAGGUAUGUAAGAUAAUACUUUUUUCCUUUGGAGACACAUGCUGAAGUAUUUAGGGUUGAAGUGUCAAAGUCUGCAAGUAACUCUCAAAUGGUUGAGAGAGAGAGAAGAAAAUAUGUAUAUCUAUAUAUAUAAAGAUAAAACAAAUGAGAUGAAAUGCUAAAACUGGCAAAUUUAGGGGAACAGCAAACAGAUGUUCAAUGUAUUAUUCUUCUGACACUUAUGAAUGUGUAAAAUUUUUCCAAAUAAAAAAUUUGCAAAAUGCAUAUACAAACCAGAGAAAAUGAGAUUGAGUACACAACAUAAAGUAGUGUGAAUUUGGUUGUUAUUAAUCAUAUGCUUAAUUCUCAUUUUAAUAAGACAUAUAUAUGUAUAUAUAUACAUAUAUACACACACAUGUAUAUAUACAUAUAUACACACACGUAUAUAUAUACAUAUAUACACACACGUAUAUAUAUACACAUAUACACACACGUAUAUAUACACAUAUACACACACGUAUAUAUACAUAUAUACACACACGUAUAUAUACAUAUAUAUACACACAUGUAUAUAUAUACAUAUAUAUAUAUACACAUGUAUAUAUAUAUAUAUUUUUUGAAACAGUUUCACUCUGUAUCCAGGGUGGAGUGUAAUGGCACGAUCAUGGCUCACUGCAGCCUUGAUCUCCUGGCUCAAGCAAUCCUCCCAUCUCAGCCUCCCAAGUAGCUGGUACUACAGGUGCACACCACCAUACCCGGCUAUUUUUUUUUUUUUUUGGUAGAGAUAGGGGUCUCUCUAUGUUGCCCAGGCUGGCCUAGAACUCUUGAGCUCAAGCCAUCUUCCUGCCUUGGCCUCCCAAAGUGCUAGCAUCACAGCCAUGAGCCACCAUGCCUGGGCAAGAGAUAUUUUUAAAUGUCAUAUUUUUAAACUGGAUGAAAGUCAUUGAUAAUAUAACCUACUUACAGAUAUAAUUCAAAGAGUCAAUAUAAUGCCCUCACUGUAACAUACAAGAGAAGAAAAGAUAAUAUUCUUCAAUAGUCUAAUUCUCGGGCACAACUACACUAUUAGACUGCCCCCACACAUUUCCAGAAUUUCCCCUAGAGGGUGGUACUGUCCCUGUAGUGAACAACUGGAUUAACUGCUAGUGUAGCAGGGAUAUUACCCUGAGACAUCAGAGAUUACAACAUGACCAUGUGCAUUUGCUGAAUGGGUAAGAAGGCCCAUGGAAUAUCAAUCUGUAUCUAUUAAUUGCCUGAGGGUUUUGAGGUUUUGGUUAUACACUGAGGGAUUAUUAGGGGGUGAAUGAGUUACAGAUGAAGUAUGGAAAGGGCUGCAGGCUGUCUUGGUUCCCAUAGACUUUGUUUAAACUCCGUAGAGGAAUGAAGUCCUGGGUAAAAGCUGAAAAAUCUGGGUUUUUUUUCCUAGGGGUUCAGAAGGAGAUGUAGACACCAAUAUGUUGUUUCUUGAUAUGCUGAUAACACAGCUGAAUGCAAUUUAUUUUGUCUAUGUUGGUUUCUUAAAAUUAUGCAAUGAAGGAAAUGUUUUCCCAUGCCCUGGAUGAAACUUGGCAGCUCAUAGCUUUUCUGAUUACUAUUACUGUUACCUAAUAGUGGGUAACUCUAAGUUGCCGUGAUUCAGUAAGUGAUUAAUAAAAUGUUCAGUCUCAAAUUCAGGAAAGUCUCAGGAUACAAAAUCAAUGUGCAAAAAUCAAAAGCAUUCUUAUACACCAGUGACAGACAAACAGAGAGCCAAAUCAUGAGUGAACUCCCAUUCACAAUUGCUUCAAAGAGAAUUAAAUACCUAGGAAUCCAACUUACAAGGGAUGUGAAGGACCUCUUCAAGGAGAACUACAAAUCACUGCUCAAUGAAAUAAGAGGAUACAAACAAAUGGAAGAACAUUCCAUGCUCAUGGGUAGGAAGAAUCAAUAUCGUGAAAAUCGCCAUACUGCCCAAGGUAAUUUAUAGAUUCAAUGUCAUCCCCAUCAGGCUACCAAUGACUUUCUUCACAGAAUUGGAAAAAACUAUUUUGAAGUUCAUAUGGAACCAAAAGAGAACCUGCAUUGCCAAGUCAAUCCUAAGCCAAAAGAACAAAGCUGGAGGCAUCACACUACCUGACUUCAAACUAUACUACAAGGCUACAGUAACCAAAACAGCAUGGUACUGGUACCAAAACAGAGAUAUAGACCGAUGGAACAGAACAGAGCCCUCAGAAAUAAUGCCACACAUCUACAACCAUCUGAUCUUUGACAAACCUGACAAAAACAAGAAAUGGGGAAAGGAUUCCCUAUUUAAUAAAUGGUGCUGGGAAAACUGGCUAGCCAUAUGUAGAAAGCUGAAACUGAAUCCCUUCCUUACACCUUAUACAAAAAUUAAUUCAAGAUGGAUUAAAGACUUAAAUAUUAGACCUAAAACCAUAAAAACCCUAGAAGAAAACCUAGGCAAUACUAUUCAGGACAUAGGCAUGGACAAGGACUUCAUGACUAAAACACCAAAAGCAAUGGCAACAAAAGCCAAAGUUGACAAAUGGGAUCUAAUUAAACUAAAGAGCUUCUGCAGAGCAAAAGAAACUACCAUCAGAGUCAACAGGCAACCUACAGUAUGGGAAAACAUUUUUGCAGUCUACUCAUCUGACAAAGGGCUAAUAUCCAGAAUCUACAAAGAACUCAAACAAAUUUACAAGAAAAAAAACAAACAACCCCAUCAACAAGUGGGCGAAGGAUAUGAACAGACACUUCUCAAAAGAAGACAUUUAUGCAGCCAAAAGAUACAUGAAAAAAUGCUCAUCAUCACUGGCCAUCAGAGAAAUUCAAAUCAAAACCACAAUGAGAUACCAUCUCACACCAGUUAGAAUGGCGAUCAUUAAAAAGUCAGGAAACAACAGGUGCUGGAGAGGAUGUGGAGAGAUAGGAACACUUUUACACUGUUGGUAGGACUGUAAACUAGUUCAACCAUUGUGGAAGUCAGUGUGGUGAUUCCUCAAGGAUCUAGAACUAGAAAUACCAUUUGACCCAGCCAUCCCAUUACUGGGUGUAUACCCAAAGGAUUGUAAAUCAUGCUGCUAUAAAGACACAUGCACACAUGUGUUUACUGCAGCACUAUUCACAAUAGCAAAGACUUGGAACCACCCCAAAUGUCCAACAAUGAUAGAGUGGAUUAAGAAAAUGUGGCACAUAUACACCAUGGAAUACUAUGCAGCCAUAAAAAAUGAUGAGUUCAUGUCGUUUGUAGGGACAUGGAUGAAGCUGGAAACCAUCAUUCUCAGCAAACUAUCGCAAGGACAAAAAACCAAACUCCGCGUGUUCUCACUCAUAGGUGGGAAUUGAACAAUGAGAACACUUGGACACAGAAGGGGAACAUCACACACCGGGGCCUCUUGUGGGGUGGGGGUAGGGGGUAGGGAUAGCAUUAGGGGAUAUACCUAAUGUAAAUGAUGAGUUAAUGGGUGCAGCACACCAACAUGGCACAUGUAUACAUAUGUAACAAACCUGCACGUUGUGCAUAUGUACCCUAAAACUUAAAGUACAAUAAAAAUAAAUAAAUGUUCAGUCCAAUAUAUUAGGAAAUGCUUCAUUCCGAGGUAAAUACUUCUGUUCCCUUCCAAUUCUUCGGUUAGAGCCUAUAGUGGGCAGUUCCCUACCCUCUCUGGAAGAGGGUGUGGUUGACUUUUUUCUUUUUCAUUGCCCUACCUCUUUCCACUAGCUACCCAUAUUUCUGACUGCUCCAGAGGGAAUUACAACUUGGAGUGGAAAUGCAGAAAAGAGGCGAGAGAGUGUCAUUGAAUAGGUCUUCAGAUGACCUUAGUCUCUCUGGGUCCAGCAGAUGUUGAAAGUGGACCAUCCUGUGGCUGUUCUCAUGGCACUCUGGAGGUUCCCUGCUGGUCUCACUGAAAGUUCUCUACAGGCUAGAGGUGAAAGAGGUAGAGUUGGGCUUUUGCCCUUUCCGUUUGGGGAACGGGUGGUUCUCACAGCACUCAGUGGCUUUCUCCAAAUAAAUAUUUUUACGAAUCCUCUCUGACUUUCCACUGCCUUGAUUCUUUUAUAUCCUUGAUGUGUCCUUAGAGUUGUCUAACUUUCUUUCAAAGUACACAACUCGUACUUUACUUUAGAGUUUUAUGUAUUUUAUGAUGGAGCCUCAGUGGAAACUCCCAAUUUAACAUUUCAUUUUCCUUAAAUUCCUGGGUAACAGUGCAGCAGUGCGAAGAAGCUAGAGGUGGUGAAGUCAAAUUUAAAUUUGAUUUUAGAUUUUAUGACUAGCUUUGUGAUUGUGGACAAGUCACUUAGCCUAUUUUUUAAAAUGAAAGUAACGUAUAUCACUAGGAUUGAUGUGGGAUACAAACAGGGUACCCUGUAAAUCAUUAAAGCUUGAUCAUAGUAAGUGCUCAGUAACUUGUAGUUACUACUGUUAUCUUUCCCUUUUCUGUGAAGAACAAUCUAACACCUUCAGAGCUGGCAGAUUUAGGAGAUGAGAAGAAAUUUCCUUGGAAUGGAUAUCAGUAUUCUUAUGGAAGGCACCCAUACUGUAGCAAUGGUGAAACACUCUGUGGCUUCACAGGUAGUGGACAUGAACCCAGGAACAAGAGUAGUAGAGGUGACAGGAUCGACUAUGAGUAUCUGAGAUAUAACCAGGUGAGACUUUGUGGGAGCAAAGUCCUGCAUGACCCUGCUGUGGAAAGUUCCAGUGAAAUCUGUGUUAUUACUGAUACCAUGAGCCCAUCAUCCCCACAGCCAGUGGUUCAAAGUGAAGAGAAGAGCGUAUCAGAUUUCAUAAGAUGUAGAAUUAUGUUUUCUCUUCUUAAGGGAGAAACACUAAAAUGGUUGGAAUGCUUUCAGUUGCAAGCAGAAGACUACCUAAGAGUGAAAUAAAGAUUUUUAAUUAUCUAACAUAACAAGAAGUAUAGGCAACUGUUUGUGUUGGUAUGCUGACUGCAUUAUGGUAAGGCCAGCCUCUCUGCGAUUCUUUUAGCCUUCCGUCUUGAUCACAAAAUGUUUUCUGCCUUUCCAGGCAUCAGGUCUUCAUCAAAAGCAGGAAUAAGUGGGAAGAGUUGGUGUCAAUCACGUAUGUGCUUUUGUCAAGAAAGUUCAAGUUUUCUAGAACCACCCCCUACCCUACCGAGACCUCUGUGUGUUUGCAUCUUACUUAUCAGGGUGGUGUCACGAGGCCACAACCACUAGCUGUAAGGGAGGUUGGGAAAGCCUCUCUGGUGGAGUUGGGUGAGAGUGAAGGAGUUUGGAACGGGGUUGUGUUCAUCAACGGACAGAGUCUGCCACAGAUGCCAUCAUCUUUUUGGGUGUGAACAUCAUUCUGGAUACUUCAGAAAACCCAAACCCCAGCAAAUCCAGACAAGCUCCAGAAAUGCUCCCACAACUUAGAGUAAUAUGGGUAAGAAUGAUGAAAAGAAAAUCAAUAUGGAAUUACAGGUUAGAAAUUCCAGAAGAAAAGACUGAGGCAGAUGGAGGAGAAGGAACAAUCAGUUAAAUAGUGACACAGGCUCCCUGAACUGAGGAUAGAUUAUCAGGUCAAAGCAGCUCGCCGCAUUUGAGGUAAAAUUAAUGAGUAUUAGCUCAUAGUUGACACUGUUGAAUUUCAAAUUUUAAGAAGAAAAAAAGUCUCAUAUCCAUCCUGAGGAAAGUAUGUUAUCAACACAAGAAGAAAAAUCAUGUAGGCAUCUGAUUUCUCCACAAUAUUAACAGUUAGAAAAUGGAAACAAUGGCUGCAGAUUUUUGAGGGAAAAUUAUUGACUUAAUAAUUUCUGAACUCAAAGAAGACUUCACAAAUAAUUUUCACACAUGCACAGCUUUUAACUACUUCACUCAUAUACUUUCAUGAAAAAAUUACUCCCCCAAUUUUUUAGGUUAAAAAGGAAAUGCACCAAAAAUAAACAAUGAAAUAUAUAAUAGAAAAGAAGUGGCUGGGUGCAGUGGCUCACGGAUGCAAUCCCAGGACUUUGGGAGGCUGAGGAAGGUGGAUCACCUGAGGUCAGGAGUUCGAGACCAGCCUGGCCAACAUGGUGAAAUCCCAUCUCUGCUAAAAAUACAAAAAUUAGCUGGGGGUGGUGGCGUGCACAUGUAAUCUCAGCUACUCUGGAGGCUGAGGCAGGAGAAUCGCUUGAACGCGGGAGGUGGAGGUUGCAGUGAGCUGAGAUCGGACCAUUGCACUCCAGCCUGGGUAGCAGAGUAAGACUGAGUGGCAGAGCAAGACUCUGUCUCAAAAAAAAAAAAAAAAAAAAAAAAGGUAUUAUUAAGCAACAAAGUCACUGAAAGUUUAUGUCUAAGUAACUGUUUUGGCUUUGAAACUCUUAUGACUUAAAUAUUCUCUAACUAGAAAAUACAUAAAAUAAUAUAGAUUAAUAUCUGAGAUAUUUAAAAGAAAAAUUGUGAAAUGUGGAGAGGGAGGAUGGAAAAGGGAGGGAAUGAACCAGCUAAAUUUUUCAUCUUUCACCAGUUAAAAGACAAAUAAUGGAAUAAAAUUAUUAAUGUGGUAUUAAUAGACUCUUUCCCCCAGCCCACAUGAGAAAAUGUUAUCUUGCUUGCCAGACUUUCCCCUGCCUUAUGUUACUGCCAAACUAGUUCCUGUGUUUUGGUCACAUAUAAUUGGAAGAUGCACAGAAAAGGAUGUGUCCAGAGAUGCUGAAGGAGGAGGUUAUAGAUUGGGAGAAAUGAGGGAGAUAGGAAAAGUCAAAAGUUUCCCAGAAUGGAGUGGAUCAAUUUGAGGGCUUUUCUCCCCCUUUGGGGUUUGAGUUGGUGAAUAAGAAGCACAAGAGGGUGUGGGAGAAAGCUGAAUAGGAGAGGAAAGGAGAUUCAAGAUGUGUUCAUGGGGGUUAUGCAUCAGAACCUCUUUACAUCCUUUGAAAGAUGAAAGUAGAACAUGCAACUCCUUUCUUAAGACUCUGUUGAGUCUUAAAACAGUUAACAUUCUGAUGAACUUUGCUAAAUUUAUGAUGCUGUGCAGAGAAGGAACCAUAAAGAUGACAGCUUCAAUAGGGUUACACCUGGAGGAUUUGUCUAAAAUUGUGGACGGAAAGCACAGCUUUCAGCUGAAAUUUUAGAAUAAAACCAUUGCUUUGUCACUGGAGUCAAGAGUACGUUAUUACCAGACUUUACAAUAAUAGUGGCAAGGAGAGAAGCUCCAAUAGCAGCUGGGAUAACACCAGACAUGUCCUGGUGGAUGUGCUGAAAUCUGAGUUGUAAAUGAUGUCUCAUGGGGAGUGGAUGUGCCAGCUGCAGAACUAAACUUAUAUGGUGCUAUGCAACUUCACUAAAUUUAGAAACUCUGAAGGAAUCUUUUGCAACAUAGUGCAAUGAAAAUUAUGUUUUACUGCAGUUCCACAGAUCCCCAGUUUCUCAAGCGGUUAGACCUCUGCAAAUCCUCAGAGGAAGCCAAAGCCAGAUCUGGAUAACUCAGACCUUGGCUGACCAAUCCCUCAUGCCAGAACUGGGUCCCAUGGGGACAUGGUGAUGGCCAGAUAGACUGAAUUUUAGAAUCACCUAUAGGCUGUUUUCCAGAAAUGGAAAGUAAUGUGUCAGAGACUGAAGAAAAUCACUUUACAUUAUGGUUAGACAAAGUUCACAGAUGAACAGGAUUUAGCAUCAGAGAGAUGUUUCCAGCCUAAAGUUUCUUAGGAUCUAAAGAACUGAGCUUUAUGUACAGGGUGAAUCAGAGACAGUGACCAUUGAGUGGUGUUUGCCAAACUCAGUGUGGUACAGAGACGGGCCACAUGAGUCAUCAUUUCAAUAGGGUGGCAGACAUUUUUAUUUGGGAUGUUAGGAAGUGUAUGUUCAAUGAUUUUUAAAAUAUUAAGUAUAAGAUAAAAAUGCUAGUAGAGUCAUUCUCACUAACUCUGUUAGAAAAUUCCUGGAGUAAAUUUUGGUUUGGUUGGUUCUCUCUAAAGAUUAAUACCCACUGGGGUCACCACCAGAAGAAACCAGAGAAUGAAAACAGCACCUACUAAUGCCAGGAAGGCAGAGCCCAAAUAAGAAAACACUCCAUGUGGAGUGAAAGCUGCAGGAUGCUCUUUUUACCUCCCAUCUAUGUGAUUUGGUCAGCCUUACAAACCCAGAACCAUUGCACCUGUCACUAUGACUACAUGACUACGAUUACUCCCAUUUCACAGGGGAAGAGAGCUGAAUUAUCUUGGAGCUUCUCCUUUGAUAUAGCAGUUGUACAGGAACCUCAGUCAACUGGCCUGUUGUGCAGAAAGUUCUCAAGCCUGGUGCCAAGAGUACUGGGAACCACGAAUUCCCUUCUCGCCCCUGCGUCUUUGAAGCUGACCCCUGGAAGAGCAGAAAUCCUUGGCUCGGGUUCUGGAGUGGAUGGGAGACAGUUUACUGAUAAACUUAUUAAAAAUUUUGAAGA